rnacentral:rRNA from 1 species
CAGUCGCCGCGGGAAUACGAAGGGGGCUAGCGUUGCUCGGAAUGACUGGGCGUAAAGGGCGCGUAGGCGGUUUAUACAGUCAGAUGUGAAAUUCCUGGGCUCAACCUGGGGACUGCAUUUGAUACGUAUGGACUUGAGUGGAGAAGAGGGUCGUGGAAUUUCCAGUGUAGAGGUGAAAUUCGUAGAUAUUGGAAAGAACACCGGUGGCGAAGGCGGCGACCUGGUCUUUAACUGACGCUGAGGCGCGAAAGCGUGGGGAGCAAACAGGAUUAGAUACCCGAGUAGUCCCUGUCUCUUAAAC